AGAAAUGCAAGUCGAGCGGGGGGAGCAAUCCCCUAGCGGCGAACGGUCGCGUAACACGUAAGCAACCUGCCCGAAAGACCGGGACAACAGUUCGAAAGGGCUGCUAAUACCGGAUGUGCCCCGGCUGAGACCUCUUGGCUUGGGUAAAUCAUUUAUGGCUUUCGGAGGGGCUUGCGGCCUAUCAGCUAGAUGGCGGGGUAACGGCUCACCAUGGCGACGACGGGUAGCUGGUCUGAGAGGAUGGUCAGCCGGACUGGGACUGAGAUACGGCCCAGACUCCUACGGGGGGCAGCAAUUAGGAAUCUUGCGCAAUGGGCGAAAGCCUGACGCAGCGACGCCGCGUGGAGGAGGAAGUCUUUCGGGAUGUAACCUCCUUUUGACGAGGAAGAAAACAAUGACGGUACUCGUCGAAUAAGCCCCGGCUAACUACGUGCCAGCAGCCGCGGUAAUACGUAGGGGGCGAGCGUUGUCCGAAGUUACUGGGCGUAAAGCGCGCGUAGGCGGGUUGGCAAGUCUGCUGUGAAAGCCCGGAGCUUAACUCCGCAGGGUCGGUGGAUACUGCCAGUCUUGAAGUGGCUAGGGGGAGAUGGAAUUACCGGUGUAGCGGUGAAAUGCGUAGAGAUCGGUAGGAACACCAGUGGCGAAGGCGGUCUCCUGGGGCCCACUUGACGCUGAGGCGCGAAAGCUGGGGGAGCGAACGGGAUUAGAUACCCCGGUAGUCCCAGCCCUAAACGAUGGAUUAGGUGUCGGGGGUAUCGACCCCUCCGGUGCCGCAGCUAACGCAGUAAGUAUCCCGCCUGGGGAGUACGGCCGCAAGGUUGAA
rnacentral:rRNA from 1 species